GUAGACAUGGCAGAAAAAGAUAAGUGAACUUGAAGACAGGAUAAACUGAACCACAGAGAGAAAAAAAAAAAUCAAAGAAAACAGUGACAGAGUUUUAGGGACCUGUUGGACAAAUGGUCUUAUAUGCAUGUAAUUAGAAUCCGAGAAAAAGAGUAGGAGGAGUGCGGAUAUUUGAAAAAAAACAUUGACCAAACAUUUCCCAAAUUUGAUUAAAAAUAUAAUCCCAUAGAUCCAAGGAACUCCAUGAAUUUCAACCAGGAUAAAUACACACACAAAACCACACUAAGGCACAUCACAAUCAAAUUGCUGAAAACCAAUGGUGAAGCAAAAAAUCCUUAAAUGAAGCCAGAGAAAAAUUUUAGCCUGUGGCAAGGAUCAAAUCGGUGGUAUGGCUGUCACAUCCAUCGUGGGAAACUCUGAGUGGGCUAAGAGGGGAAUCUUCCCCACUGGGCCAACUGACUCAGGAAACAGAGACUUGAAGGAGUGUUUGCCCAUCUAAGUCUGAUAGACCCAACUUACCUGUGAGUCAUUCCCCCAAAACACAGAGGCUUGAAGGAAGUGGGGGGCACUGGGGGCAAGAGAGGAAGGAAGUUCAGCAAAGGUAAAAGAUAUGUCUAAAAAACUAUGAAUGUGGCUAUUGGUACAUAGAGUCAUCUAGAAUCAAACAGAUAAGAAGACUGCUCCAUCUUUAAAUGAGUUGUACUGCCCCCAAAAAAUCACAAUCCUGGACUGAAAAGACCUCUGACUGUUUGAGGUUUAGCUCUUCUUGGGCUUGCAAAAUUCUACAGGCAGGAAACAGACUGAGGAAACUGCUCAGCUCUCAAGGGAGGCCUGUUCUCCAGCGCUCACAGUAGAUGUGGCCAAGGAGGGCCAUGGGGAGAAAGGCACUUCUCAGAGCAGGAGAUGCUCUAGCUCCAAGGAUCAUGCUUCCCGUGACGGCAUUUAAAAGCUGGAAAGCAAAAGGGGUGUCUCACCAAUCUCCCUCUUCUUGUGGGGCGAGAAACCUUUCUCAGAACACCAAGCAGACUACUGCUCAGGUCCUGAGGGCCAGGGCUGAAUCCUGUGCCCUCACCCUAGCUGCAAGGGGGGCUGGUAAAGCAGGCAUCUGGUACUUUCAGCCUUGAUUACAGGAGGUGGAUUCCGCCAGCAGGGGAGUAACAGGAGGUGUGGGAUGCCUGCUGGAUAGGCGACCCAUAGUGUUUGCCCCACCCCAAGGGUGCCGAGAGUGAGAAAUGAGAUCGUCCAGAGUGAGAUCCUGGGAACAACAACAUUUCAGGGAGCUACACAUAUGGGGUCAAGGAAAGGGAGCCUUAUUAGUUUCUGAGUAACAAGUUGCCCCGAGACUUAGUAGCUUAAAGCAACAAACAUUUAUUUUCUCAUAAUUUCUGAGGGUUGGGAACCUGGGAAUAGCUUUGCUGGUGGUUCUGUCUUAGAGUCUCUCGUGAGGGCACAGUCAAGCUGUUGGCUAGGGCUGCAUUAUCCAAAGCCUUCCUUUGGGUUGGAGGAUCUACUUCCAAGAAGGCUCACUCAUAUGUCUAUGGGUUGGAGUCCUCAGCUCCUCUCUGGCUUUUGACUGGAAGCCUCAGUUCCUUGCCAAGUGGAACUCUCCACAGGCUGCCUGAGGGUCCUCAAUAUAUGGCAGCUGGCUUCUCCCAGGGUAAGCGACCCGAGAGAGAGUGAGAGAAAGUCCAAAAUGAAGCUGCACUGUCUUUUAUAACCUAGUCUCAGAAGUGACAUACCAUCACUUCGGUCAUUUCUAUUGGUCACACUGUCCAACUCUGGUACGAUGUGGGAGGUGACAUGCAAGGUAAGCUCCAGGAAGUGGGAAUCCUUGGGGGCCGUCUUGAAGACUGGCUACCACAGAGCCUUUGAAGGAGACAGAGAAGAAGACAGCAAGAGAUAUGAGGUGAUAUCACAGAGGCCAAGGGGAGAGGGUUCCAGAACAGAAGUGUCCAAUAGUUUUCAAUACAACAGUGAGAACUAGUAGCUAAGGACUGAGAAAUGUCCAUUGGAUUUGUCAAUCAGGGUCAUUAGGAAUAUUAAGACCAAUUAAGAGCAAUGUCACUUGAGCAGUUUGCGGUGGACUGAGGUUUGAAUGGGUGGUGAGCAAGAGGACAACAGCAAGUAUGGACUACUUUUUCAAGAAGGUUGGAAGAGAAAGUUGGACAGAAGCUAGAGGGGGACAUGGGAGGAUUAGUGGAGUUUUUGGAUAUGAGAGGCCUGAGUAUAUUUUUAGGGAGAGGAGAAGCAGCCAGUGGACUGGCAGAGGUGAAGAUCUGGGAAAGGAAAAAUGACUGAUGGAGUGGCUUCUCAGAGGAGGCAGGAGAAUUGGAGGUCAAAGAUGCAGGUGGGGUGGCUGGCUUUGAACAGAGACACCUCAUCCUCUGAGGCUGCGGUGAGAGAGGCAGGAUGAGUCUGGCUGGCACAAGACCUGAGUGGGAGGAUGCCUGGGAACUGAGAACUCAUACCUAAUGGCCUCAAUCUUCUCAGAAAGAGCAGGAGGCAAGGUCACAGUGAGCAGAGAGUGAACGGUGAUGUCAAUUACCAUGGAGAUUGCUUACAUAUGAAGGAAGGCUUGGAAACAGUCUGUUUUCACAGGCAAGGCAAGCCUUUCCCUCGUGAUCUAAUCGCACUCUCUCAGCAAACUCAUUUUUCAUGGUUGGUGAUGUCUUCAAGACAACACUUGUCUGAGUUACCACGAGGUCUGGAUUAGUGGGAUUGAAAUGAAUGAGGAUGGGAGAUACCAGCACUCAGUGGGUGUAAAGAAUCGUGACAUCUCUGUGGGGCAGGAGCCUCCGAGGUAUCAUUGGACAUUCCAUUCGUGGGUUGUGUCAUCAUCAAGGGUUUGUCUAUCCUCUACUUCCACAUCCCACCAACUGGGAACUCACUAUUUCUAAGUAGAGUCUUUCCAUUUUCAAACAAAUCCUUAGGUCUUCCCUUCAGCAGGGCUGAAGUCUGACUCCCUGUGUCCCUCGGGUCCUACAGGGAGUCCCAGAACAAGUCCUCCCACCAAACUGCCCUUUGGAGUUGUUUCUCCUCUAGAAUAAAUGUCCCUUGUUCCUUCUACCCUCCCUCACAUGACAGUGUUUUCUGACCCCUCAGCAGGACUGCCUUCUCCUCCAGAUUUCCUCCAAGAAAACAGUGGUCCUCAAGAUUCAGCUGGGACCUGGCUCAGUGGCUUUCUUCUGAGCACCCAAAGUGCUUAGAAGGCUGCCAGGCGUGUGGGUAACUCGUGGAAACUCCUUCAGUAAUUGAUGAACCUUCUUCCCAGGAUGGUCCAAUCACACUGGCAGUCUUACAGGUUUUCUCUUCAUCCCUCAGCAUGAUCAAAUACUGUAUUUUGGCAUGCAGAAAGAGGUUCCAGAUUCUCAUUUUGGCAUUGUCUCUACAGGUCACUUAAAUCUCUCCAAAUUUCAGGGGAGCCUUGACAACACCUCAGUCCUCUCUUCUGUCUGGAUCCUGCCAUGCUCCAGGGCUCUGCUCUUCCAGGAAGCCUUCCUGUAUCUUCACCUCAUCUCCAAGUCUCCACCCAUCUCCCCUUCUCCAAGUCCGGAGUCCCUACUCAUCUGCCUGUUUGUUCGGCCCUCAGCUCGUGCUGCCUGGCACUGCUGUUCUCUCUCCUACACAUAUAGGCCCGUGCACAGGCCCCCUGGGACUGCCAGCUCUGUGAGCGCCUGACUGUGGGUUUUGCUCCCACAGGAGCUCAAUAACAGGUGCGGACUGCCUGAUGGCUCAGUGAGCUGCACUGUCCCUGGUCCCAGCUGCAGGAGCACAGGCCUGGAGAGGAGGUGUGGACGCUCGCUGGGUCUCUGCUGCAGGUCCCAGUCUCUGUAGUUGUUAUAAAGGCGAUGAGAUCACGUUGAGCGCUGGCACAGCACUUAGCAGGCACCACCACAGCCACUCCUCACAGUGGCCCUAGGAGAUAGGAACUGUUCUCCCCAUGUUUCAGAUUUAAAAAACAGGUGCACAGAGGCGACAUUAUUGCCUCAAGGUCACAUGGCUAGUAAACAGUGGAGCCAGUCCCUGAAACCCUCAGAACAGCCUCCAAGUGAGCAGAAAACAAGUCCCAGGGCUGCCCUUGCCUGACCUUGUAAUGAGGCAGGUAGGCAACUUCCACUGGAUGAUUCUUGAACCACUUGAGAGCAGAGGGACGUGGGCUCUUGGGGCCUCCAGCUGCUCCUAGAAGUGGUCAUCAGGAGAAAGCUGAGUUGAGAGGGGUCUGGGCAGUAGGGUUGACAGUUGAGCAUGGGCUUUGCUAACCACAAUAUUCCGCAAAUCCUACUUUUCAGGGCCAAAUAAUCCUGUAGACAGGUCCACUAGUCCACCCUCCCAGGCAUUCUUCCCAGGCCAGGACAGAAGUUACAUUUCUUCGGAUGGAACACACGUCCUGGAAUCAGAUACUUGGGUAAUUCCCUCCCACGUGAAUCCAGCCAUGACCAUGUGACUUUUUGGCCAAUGUGACAUUAGCAAUGUCACACAAGCAGGGGCAUCAUAAGGUCUUGCCCACUGGGGCUCGUCCUCUUGGAACUCUCCCUUUGAGGCCAGCCCCCAUGCUGUAAAGAAGCUCAGGACAGACUGUGGGAUGAUGAGACGCCACCUAGAGUAACCCCUGGAGGCUGAAUGCUCCAGCCCUAGCCGAGUGCCCGGCCAAGCUCCCACAAUGCAGCCACAUGAGUGACCUCAGCCACGCUACUUGGAGCCAAAGAACCACUCCGCUGAGCCCUGUCAACUCACAGA
ensembl:lncRNA